rnacentral:sRNA from 1 species
ACACUUCUUGGCUGUGUGCGCUCAGCAGGACGUGGGAGGCUCCGGCUUCAAGGUCGACACUCAUCCAAGAGGAAGGAUGGCCAGUAUCUUUUCUAAGUUGCUAACUGGCCGCAAUGCUUCUCUGCUGUUUGCUACCAUGGGCACCAGUGUCCUGACCACCGGGUACCUGCUGAACCGGCAGAAAGUGUGUGCCGAGGUCCGGGAGCAGCCUAGGCUAUUUCCUCCAAGCGCAGACUACCCAGACCUGCGCAAGCACAACAACUGCAUGGCCGAGUGCCUCACCCCCGCCAUUUAUGCCAAGCUUCGCAACAAGGUGACACCCAACGGCUACACGCUGGACCAGUGCAUCCAGACUGGAGUGGACAACCCUGGCCACCCCUUCAUAAAGACUGUGGGCAUGGUGGCUGGUGACGAGGAGUCCUAUGAGGUGUUUGCUGACCUUUUUGACCCCGUCAUCAAACUAAGACACAACGGCUACGACCCCAGGGUGAUGAAGCACACAACGGAUCUGGACGCAUCAAAGGUAGGCUCCAGCCUCCUUCUCCUUCCCCACGAAGCUGGCACUCCUGAGCCCAAGGG